ensembl:piRNA 21ur-1314 ncRNA
UAAGUAGUGUGAUGUUAUAGA